CCUACGGGAGGCAGCAGUGAGGAAUAUUGGCCAAUGGACGAGAGUCUGAACCAGCCAAGUAGCGUGAAGGAUGACUGCCCUAUGGGUUGUAAACUUCUUUUAUAUGGGAAUAAAAUGUUCCACGUGUGGGAUUUUGUAUGUACCAUAUGAAUAAGGAUCGGCUAACUCCGUGCCAGCAGCCGCGGUAAUACGGAGGAUCCGAGCGUUAUCCGGAUUUAUUGGGUUUAAAGGGAGCGUAGGUGGAUUGUUAAGUCAGUUGUGAAAGUUUGCGGCUCAACCGUAAAAUUGCAGUUGAAACUGGCAGUCUUGAGUACAGUAGAGGUGGGCGGAAUUCGUGGUGUAGCGGUGAAAUGCUUAGAUAUCACGAAGAACUCCGAUUGCGAAGGCAGUUCACUGGACUGCAACUGACACUGAGGCUCGAAAGUGUGGGUAUCAAACAGGAUUAGAUACCCCUGUAGUC
rnacentral:rRNA from 1 species